AAAUGCAGAGCUUGCUGCCAGGUGGAAGUACUGUGCUCUCAGUACAGAGAAACUCCGGCGCCCUAUUGUUGCUUGUGAUCUGGGAAGACUGUAUAACAAAGAUGCUGUGAUUGAGUACCUUCUGGAUAAAUCUGCAGAUACAACCUCGCUGUUGGGUCUAUCACACCUUUGUGGCAUUAAGGAUAUAAAGGAGCUGAACCUGAUUGACAACCCAGCCUGGGAGGGCGAUAGGAGGAACACGAAAG